GAUGAACGCUGACAGAAUGCUUAACACAUGCAAGUCUACCAAGAAUCACUUCGGUGAGGAAUGGUGGCGGACGGGUGAGUAACGCGUAAAUAAUCUGCCCUUUAGACUGGGAUAUCCUUUGGAAACGAAGGUUAAUACCGGAUAUUAUGAGAUGGACGCAUGUUCAACUUAUGAAAGCUAAAUGCACUAGAGGAGGAGUUUGCGUCCCAUUAGUUAGUUGGUGGGGUAAAGGCUCACCAAGGCCACGAUGGGUAGCCGGCCUGAGAGGGUGAACGGCCACAAGGGAACUGAGACACGGUCCUUACUCCUACGGGAGGCAGCAGUGGGGAAUAUUGGACAAUGGACCAAAAGUCUGAUCCAGCAAUUCUGUGUGCACGAUGAAGGUCUUCGGAUUGUAAAGUGCUUUCAGUAGGGAAGAAAAAAAUGACGGUACCUACAGAAGAAGCGACGGCUAAAUACGUGCCAGCAGCCGCCGUAAUAC
rnacentral:rRNA from 1 species